CUGUACUGAACAUAUGCAGGACGAGGGAAACUGGGUCAAGGGCAGGGGGUCUGAAAGACACUACGUGUAUCGCAUGAUGUCCAAACCCUGUCCCCUUUUUUUCCAAGUAGUGAUUUUGGGAAACGUAGUGGUUAAACGCACACAGUGUUGCAUCCACCAUGGAUGAACCUGAUGAACUCUGCAGGGAAAGACCAGCCAGCUAACGUGUGGUGGGAGCAAAGAGCGAGAAGGAGCGAAGCCGAGCAGAAGUCACAGUCCGUGCAACGAGAGCUGCAGGAAACCGAUCGGAAAACAGCUGAAGUCAGGUCAUCUGGAGUUUACAGCUGAGUGUUUCUAUCUUCCAGUAAGAAAUAGUCUACAGCCACAGAGAGGGACGUCAGUAUUCAGAUCGGUUGGAUCUCAGCGGCAGAGGACUUGACCCUGGACAGCGGGACAGAUGGAGGGCAGCGGCUUUCGUUCACGCCACAGUGUGACAGGCAAACCGAGGCCUUCGCCCUCAGAGCAAAGCCAGACGGACUCUUUCCUGACCGCGGCCCGGCUGGCCCGUGAAGGACUGCUGGACGGCGAGAGGACGGGACGGCAGCUUUCAACACUUAGAUCCUCUCCAUCCAGCUCACAAGGAAAUCAUGCCGAGGUUUUCUUAAAGGAUCUCGCGGUCAGACGCCGCACGGUCGUCUUCAGCAGGAAGACGGAUACAGACAGAAAGACGGACAACGGGGAAGGGAAGAAGACCGAUCAAGGUGCUCGUCAAGCAAAGGACGAGCAGAGAGACAGAAAGAUGUGCUUUGUCACAGUGCACCUCGCCUCACAUGCAGACAACCUGUAAGGUUUAGAGUUGCCGUACUGCCCGUAAUAGCUGAGAUUUAGAUAAUCAGGCUUCCAGAUCAAAGCUAACCGAAGGCCGAUGUUUGGUUCUGUCUACCUGAUAUCAGCGCUCACACCAUCACGCCUGUUUAAGUCAAUGCAUGGUUAGACCAAAAGAAACUGGUAAAGACAAAGAGUUUAAGAUAUGAGGCACUUAAAAGAACUUAGAAGAACACAGGAGACCAGCCUAUUGUUAAAGUACAGCAUUACUUGAUAUCAGUAACAUAUUUACCUGGUUGUGUCCCAGAUAAAACAGACUGAUGGCAAAGACAAUUACUAAAAGUUUCAGGAAUCCCUCUAUAAGCGUUUUUUGUAUUAAAAGUGCAUAGACACGUUAUUUGACUUUUUUUUAUAUACGUCAGUAGCUCACUCUGGUUGCAUACAAAGAUUUUCUGAUAGAUUAUCACGUCCUUAUGGCAUGUCAGUUAUAUUUGUGUUUAAUGCUUUGUUUUUGCCCACUUUGUUCGUAAAUAAAGCCUUAUGUGUUUAUUUGUGACAACGAAGAUACGACACGGCGCACGUGCAGCACGGGAUAGACAAGGAAGCAUCUAACGGCUAUUAGCAUCUCACAGGGAAGUGUGGAAACAAUGAAGAAAGGUCCAAGAUCUGA